rnacentral:rRNA from 1 species
AUUGAACGCUGGCGGCAGGCCUAACACAUGCAAGUCGAACGGUAGCACAGAGAGCUUGCUCUCGGGUGACGAGUGGCGGACGGGUGAGUAACGUCUGGGAAACUGCCCGAUGGAGGGGGAUAACUACUGGAAACGGUAGCUAAUACCGCAUAACGUCGCAAGACCAAAGUGGGGGACCUUCGGGCCUCACACCAUCGGAUGUGCCCAGAUGGGAUUAGCUAGUAGGUGGGGUAAUGGCUCACCUAGGCGACGAUCCCUAGCUGGUCUGAGAGGAGGACCAGCCAAACUGGAACUGAGACACGGUCCAGACUCCUACGGGAGGCAGCAGUGGGGAAUAUUGCACAAUGGGCGCAAGCCUGAUGCAGCCAUGCCGCGUGUAUGAAGAAGGCCUUCGGGUUGUAAAGUACUUUCAGCGGGGAGGAAGGCGGUGAAGUUAAUAGCUUAACCGAUUGACGUUACCCGCAGAAGAAGCACCGGCUAACUCCGUGCCAGCCGCCGCGGUAA